UAUACGACCGUACCGCAAACCGACACUGGUGCGCGAGAUGAGUAUUCUAAGGCGCUUGAGAUAACUCAGGAGAAGGAACUCGGCAAAUUGACACCGUAACUUCGGAAGAAGGUGUGCCCUAUUAGUGUGUAGUGAACAACGAAGCAUGAAUGGGUUGCAAAAAAUCGGUGGCUGCGACUGUUUAUUAAAAACACAGCACUCUGCAAACACGAAAGUGGACGUAUAGGGUGUGACGCCUGCCCGGUGCUGGAAGAUUAAAUGAUGGGGUGCAAGCUCUUGAUUGAAGUCCCAGUAAACGGCGGCCGUAACUAUAACGGUCCUAAGGUAGCGAAAUUCCUUGUCGGGUAAGUUCCGACCUGCACGAAUGGCGUAACGAUGGCCACACUGUCUCCUCCUGAGACUCAGCGAAGUUGAAAUGUUUGUGAUGAUGCAAUCUCCCCGCGGAAAGACGGAAAGACCCCAUGAACCUUUACUGUAGCUUUGUAUUGGACUUUGAACAGAUCUGUGUAGGAUAGGUGGGAGGCUUUGAAGCAGGGUCGCUAGAUCUUGUGGAGCCAACGUUGAAAUACCACCCUGGUGUGUUUGAGAUUCUAACCUAGGUCCAUUAUCUGGAUCGGGGACAGUGCAUGGUAGGCAGUUUGACUGGGGCGGUCUCCUCCCAAAGCGUAACGGAGGAGUUCGAAGGUACGCUAGUUACGGUCGGACAUCGUGACGAUAGUGCAAUGGCAUAAGCGUGCUUAACUGCGAGACUGACAAGUCGAGCAGAUGCGAAAGCAGGACAUAGUGAUCCGGUGGUUCUGUAUGGAAGGGCCAUCGCUCAACGGAUAAAAGGUACUCUGGGGAUAACAGGCUGAUACCGCCCAAGAGUUCAUAUCGACGGCGGUGUUUGGCACCUCGAUGUCGGCUCAUCUCAUCCUGGGGCUGUAGCCGGUCCCAAGGGUAUGGCUGUUCGCCAUUUGAAGAGGUACGUGAGCUGGGUUUAAAACGUCGUGAGGCAGUUUGGUCCCUAUCUUCCGUGGGCGCUGCAGAUUUGAGGAAGCCUGCUCCUAGUACGAGAGGACCGGAGUGGACACACCUCUGGUGUAUCGGUUGUCACGCCAGUGGCAUUGCCGAGUAGCUAAGUGUGGAAGAGAUAACCGCUGAAAGCAUCUAAGCGGGAAACUCGUUUCAAGAUGAGAUCUGCCGGGGCCUUGAGCCCCCUAAAGAGUCGAUCAAGACCAGGACGUUGAUAGGUCAGGUGUGGAAGC
rnacentral:rRNA from 1 species